rnacentral:rRNA from 1 species
UACAGAGGGUGCGAGCGUUGUUCGGAAUUAUUGGGCGUAAAGGGCGCGUAGGCGGUGCGGUAAGUCACCUGUGAAAGCCCUCGGCUCAACCGAGGAACUGCGCUCCAAACUACCGUGCUAGAGGAAGAUAGAGGUGAGCAGAACUGAUGGUGGAGCGGUGAAAUGCGUUGAUAUCAUCAGGAAUACCGGAGGCGAAGGCGGCUCACUGGGUCUUUUCUGACGCUGAGGAACGAAAGCUAGGGGAGCAAACAGG